CUUGCUCAAGAUGCCUGUGUACCCUGGGCCUUCCAAAUUGCCUUCAUGCUUAUGUUCAGAGCUCUGCAGUGCCAGCAAAUGAGCAGCUAAGCCAUCGUAUGCAAUCACAUUUCUCCUGAAGAGCAGAUUCAGCUCCAGUCUACUCAAAUGCUCUUACUUGCUAAUGUAAACCACAACGCAUGUCUUGUCCUCUGUAAAACAUGGAACCUGGCUUCCUCUUUCCUCAAGCAGGCUCCAUCGUGUUCUCCUUUCUGACCAGAAGUGUUCUCUGCACUUCAGUCUUCUUUCCAAACUACAAGCGGACCCUUUGAGUGUCUGUCUCCAUAUGCUUAACUAUCUGUCCCGGUUAAGGAAUUGAUGUAUCACCGAAGGACUUAUGCUCCUAUGAGGUGAAACUCAGCUUAUUUUUUCAAAGUAAUACUGAUAGAAAUGUGCCUAUUCCCUUCUUCAUGGAACUUCCUUACCAGAAUCGGUUGAUUGUGGUUUGCAGUGUGUAAGAAGAUGGGUGUGGAGAUAGAUGUCAAUGCAAAGCUGAGUAGGAAGGAAAAGGAGAUCCUAAUGAUUUGCACGCUGCAAGCUUCAUGCUGAAAGAAACACGAAUGAAGCUGUUCGCAGGCAGAGAAGAGGCCUUCCUGUUACCUUCAUCACAAACUAACUAGGAUGGAGUGAAAUAUCCCUUCUCUGAAAAUUAACAGGCUAUGACUAAUUUGUUGCACACAAGAAGAGGCUCAGACUCACCUACUUGGGCCCUCUGUUAUCAUUUAAACAAGAAAAGUGACCUUGAACCAGUUAAGGCUUUAGCUCUGUUAUUGCUGCCAGGUGGAGUCAAUGCUAGAUUUGCCUUCAAUCUCCUCAGCAAGAUGUGAGCAAGUUUCAGACAGGAAGAUGCUAAGACUGUAUACUGGUGCUCAUGCCAUAAAUCAGCUAGGGAUAAUGAAGUCACGGAAGCUCAGGGGCUCUGGAGGUCUCCUUACCUCUCAUCCAAGAACUUCACAAACUCCUUGCUGCUUCCUUGCCUGGUGCUGCGGUGUCCUAAUGAGGCAUCUAUGGAGUUCUAAGGAGGAACUUUGGCACCAUCAGCAAACCUCCUGCACUCAGCACCUUCCUGGUACCUCCCUCCCUCUUUGUUUAGUUUCAAGGCUUCUGAGUGCCAGAUAGCUGGGAUGGGGUAUCUCAGGAACAACUUUAACCAAAAGAGAAGCCUCAUGUCUCAGACCAGUGUUCUUGCUGGUCUAUCUUUGCAGUAGACUGUGGGAAUCAAGUUCUACCUCUUUUAUUCGCGUAGACAGUAGAGACAAAGCUGCCAGAAAGGAAGAAGUGGAUGCAGCAGUUACAGCUGAAGCAGGGAGUCCAGGUGCCUUGUCAGAAUGGGAAGGGAGCAGGAAGGAAGAGGCUAUACCAUGACCUCUUCAGUUUUCAGUCUUCCCAGAGACAGCUGCCUUGUUUGAGGCUGAGGGGACUUACUGCUGUGCAACACUCUCUCAGACUGAUAUAUUCUCAGCUUCCUUAAAUAGAACCAGUUAUUUUAU
ensembl:lncRNA